rnacentral:lncRNA from 1 species
UUAAAAACUACAAACAUAAUUAACCCAUUAAUUAAUCCAGCAAAGGGAGAAAAUGUAAACGCCAAAUAUCAAUACAUAAAAGCCAACCCGUAUAUAACAUAUCCACUAGAUCGAGAUAUAGUACACACACUACAAGGCAAUCAUAACAUAUAAGCAUUCAGCUGCAAACCUUAUACACACUACCAUAUGCACAAGCUCUUUCAGUACUCUCAUAUUUUUCUUUUUUCUUUUUGAUAAAUCAGUACUUUCAUACUUGGUGCAAGUAUGUAACACUAAAAGGGGAAAAAAUCAGAACAAAAACCUAAGUAUUUGUAUACUUGAACUUACACUAGUUGAUACUACUUAGUGAGACCAAUGAUCUACCAGCCCAAUUACGACGUGGUGGCUUUGGGUUUUCUUUGUUGUCAAUAUUAGCCCCACCAAAUGAAGCACCAGGGUUAUUGCUAUUCACAAUGAUAGGCACUUCAAAAGGAGGAACUUGAUUUCUUCUGAAUCGACCAUAGUGCCUCUCUAUCAGAUCAAAGCCAUCCGAACCUAUUUUGAUAAGGCUUGCUGAUGGAGAUGCCUUUGGACUCAUUGUAAUGAAGGUUGUUUUUCAGGUUAAAUGGUUUCUUGCUCCAAAGUACCAAGCCCAAGGCCUCUUAUAUAGAUAGAAAAAGUUCUUUUAAUAAAUAUCUUGCAGAAUCUAUGAUAUAUAUA